rnacentral:rRNA from 1 species
UGGGGAAUAUUGCACAAUGGGCGCAAGCCUGAUGCAGCCAUGCCGCGUGUGUGAAGAAGGCCUUCGGGUUGUAAAGCACUUUCAGCGAGGAGGAAGGGUAGUGUGUUAAUAGCACAUUGCAUUGACGUUACUCGCAGAAGAAGCACCGGCUAACUCCGUGCCAGCAGCCGCGGUAAUACGGAGGGUGCAAGCGUUAAUCGGAAUUACUGGGCGUAAAGCGCACGCAGGCGGUUUGUUAAGUCAGAUGUGAAAUCCCCGCGCUUAACGUGGGAACUGCAUUUGAAACUGGCAAGCUAGAGUCUUGUAGAGGGGGGUAGAAUUCCAGGUGUAGCGGUGAAAUGUGUAGAGAUCUGGAGGAAUACCGGUGGCGAAGGCGGCCCCCUGGACAAAGACUGACGCUCAGGUGCGAAAGCGUGGGGAGCAAACA